AUUGGUUCUUCUUGUAUUCCCA
rnacentral:miRNA from 1 species